CCAUCCACAUCCUUUCAGCCCGAAGCCGUCCAACACACCCUGGCCUCAGCCAUCCCAGCCCCGGCUCUAGGUAGGGAGUCCAUCUCUAAAGCAGCUUAUAUCUCUCUUCAGCUACAGUCAAAAAUCAUUCAAGGUAAAGAUAUCAACCUAGUGAGCCUUAUCCCGCCUUCACCCGAAUGCGACAAAACUAUCGCCACGGGUGCUAACAUCACCGCCGUGCUUAAGUCCACAGACCCUCAAUAGAGAUUUAUCCAUCGGGCAGUUUCUGGUUGCUUUCAGUGUUUACAGGGACAUUAUCUGCUCUGUCUUCCCAGAGAGAAGACAAGAAUUGGACGCUUAUCUGUCGCUCAUAGGCGAUCUCCACCUCAAUUACGGAAAAAACAUUCUCUAUCUCUACCAUAAGGCGUUUUCCAGGAAAGCCACACUCCACAUCUCCCAAUCCAAUGUGCGCUUGAACUGGGCCAUUCUUGACACUGAAUUAUUAAUUAUGGUUGCCGGGGGCUCCCAGAUGAUUUCCUGCGUCACCUGCGGAGAUCCGGGCCACACCGCGUCCCUCUGCCCCUCAGUGCCAUUCUAGCCUCCGCCCCGCCUUUUGCCUUCGGCUUGCCAGCCCCCCAUUACCUGGCGCUAUCCCGACUCCUAUGGCCGACAGGAGCAUCUUUUCAAUAUUAUUCCCACUUGUAAUAACUUCAACGAAAAAUGUUUGUUCCUUCCCCAACUGCCACUUUCUCCACGUCUGCAGCAACUGCAGAGACGCUCAUCCCCAGUCGGUCUGCCCCCGGCUUGCCAGGCAAGUCAUCUCCAGGCAGGAGAACUGACACGGUUCAAAGAUAUAAUGAACAAUCAUUCCUCCACUCCAGUAAAUGCUUUUUCCCUAGCAGCAGAACUGUCUUAUCAUCCAAAUUCCAUGUUUGUUGAUCAUCUUAUUAGGGGUCUCUCUCAGGGAUUUAGGGUCGGUGUCCUCUCACUCCUGACAGCUAACUACGUAGCAAAAAACCUCCAGUCAGCAAUCAAAGAGCCAGAGGUUGUUUCGCAGCUGCUAGAUAAAGAAGUAAAUAAUGGUUACGUUAUCGGUUCAUUCGACUCACCCCCGUUUUCAGUAUUCCGCACCAGUUCCAUAGGACUAGCCACAAGGAAGUACUCAGGAAAGAAAAGACUGAUAUUUGAUCUAUCCGCUCCUCGCUCCGGCCCCACUGCUAGCAUUAACAGCCUCAUCCCUCUCAAGUCAUUUUCUCUUCAUUAUGCCUCCAUAGAUAACGCCAUCAAACUAAUUAAAUUAGCAGGCCAAGGCGCAUGGCUCUCCAAAGCUGAUAUCACCGACACCGGCUUCUGGUCUCAUCUUCUGGACAACUGGAACGGCAUAACUUUUUUCUAUGAAGACAUGGUGAUCUCCUCUGACUCCCUGCAGCUAUACACGGAUGCCACCCCAUCCAUGGGUUUUGGGGGGUUCUUUCAAGGGCAAUGGUUCGCCAGCCGCUGGCCGCCCUCCUUUCCCCUCUCUAAUCCAUCCUCAGCACUACACAAAAUUUACCCCAUCGCUGUUGCUUGUUACGUGUGGGGAGAGUUUUGGAAGUGUAAACGCAUUUCAGUACUCUGUGACAACCAAGCUGUCGUAGACAUUAUUAACAAAGGCCGCUCCGCUUCUAAAGACAUUAUGCCCUUCAUAAGAAGCAUCAUGUGGUCCUCCAUCACCUACCAUUUCAUUAUUACAGACCGCCACGUGUCCAGUCAUUAUAAUGCUCUAGCUGAUUCUCUCUCCUGUUUCAAUUUCCAGACCUUCCGGAGCAUCUGCCCCAAAGCAAGCGAAGUCUCUGUCCAAGUUCCCCCUCUUCAAAUCUAGGCCCCAUGCGCACAUACUGAGUGUCAGCCAGGGUUCAUAUGAGGAAAGGUCUAGCUGCAUCCACACUUGAAACUUAUGAUUUUGGCUGGGUCAUUUUUUCCAUGUUGUGUGCUUCCAUGUGUAUGCCUCUUAAACCUGUUGAAAUCAAUACCGUUUGUGCUUUCAUCUGUUAUUGCAAAGACGUUUGUCAUUUCAGACCUCAGUAUAUCCAGGGCUAGUUUCCGGGAUUCAAUUUAACAUCAGGUUCUCCGAUCCCUCUUCUCCCAGUUUGUUUUCUAACCUGGCCAUAAAAACACUGUUAAAGGGCAUUUCAAAAACUUCCCCUCCUGCUCCAGAUCACAGAAAGCCCAUCAUUCUCUCUCUCCUGCAUAGGAUGCUUUGUCUUCUCAGAGGAUGCUUUGUCUUCUCAGAAACCGUGUUUUUUCUGCAUAUAUUGAUACUUUGCUCAAAGCUGUAUUUCUCUUAGCCUUCUAUGCUUUUCUUAGAAGUGGAGAAUUUACCACUCCCUCAAAAUUUUUCGAUCCAAACAGAUCUUUCUUUUUCCAAUCUGACCUUCCAUCCUAGGCAUUUCGCUUUAUUCCUUAAGCAUUCAAAAAGCGGCGGUGCUUGUUCCGUCCUAGUAGCUCGCACCGAUUCCACAUUCUGCCCUCACCGAUCCAUGAUCAAAUACCUUCAUAACAGACCUAAUUCUGGCCCUCUCACUCCAUUAUUUCUUAUCCCUGGUAAUUUUCCCAUGUCUAAAUUCUGUUUUAAUCACUAUUUAAGGCAAGUACUCCUAAAAUGCGGUUUAUCCCCUCAGCUUUACUCAGGCCACUCUUUUAGGAUAGGCGUGGCUACUACAGCUGCUAACCAAGGUAUUUCAACCUCCUCCCUUCAACAACUGGGCUGGUGGUCCUCUUCUGCCUACUUGUCCUACAUUUGCCCCGAUGUCAACACAGUCCUCGCUAAUCAAAAACUGCUCAAGUCAUACAUAUAACUGGCGGCGGUUUUAUUCUCUGAGCGCGCAGCUCAUUUACAUCUAUCGUUCUUGCUAGUUCUUCUCAUUCUUAGCUCAUUAAUUCAUAUCAUUUACUACUCAUCAUGCACGGCACUUUCUGAGGGGCAACCCUCUAGUUGCCCGGCCCCUCUCUCUCUCUCCCUCUCCCUCCUAUCCGCCCUCUCUUACCAGCUCAAGGUCGCUCGACCUAUCAUAUCGGCCCAAGCAUCAUUACAUGGUCUUCGGACCCUUGCAUCAGUCAUGCAUCAGCCCAUGGUCAUCGGACCUUGCACAUCUGCUCACGCACCGGUCCACAGUCUUCGGACCCUGCCACCAGAACACAAUCCCUCGCCACCGGGAUGGCAUUAUCACAU